UCAUACAAUCUUUUCAUUGACAACAUGCAAUCUUAUGAGAUGUCUAUUCUCUUGACCCAAUUCUAACAUAACCUGCUCUACCGAGUAUGAACCAUAUCUAACAUGAUCAUGGCCCAUCCCAUAGAUAUAGAUCAUUUAGAUGGUACAAUCAAAGAACAUAAAUAUGUAUUUAAUAAAUCUUACAAGUUAUCCAAACUUGAGCAU
rnacentral:lncRNA from 1 species